CAGAGGUGGUUGAAACUCCAGGGAGAAAGGGAGUGCCUGCUCAACCCCCCUCGCCUGAAGGAUUCUUCUUUUACUUCUUUUUUGUUUUGUUUUGUUUUUUUGAGGAAGAUUAGCCCUGACCUAACUACUGCCAGUCCUCCUCUUUUUUUUGCUGAGGAAGCCUGGCCCUGAGCUAGCAUCCAUGCCCAUCUUCCUCUACUUUAUAUGUGGGAUGCCUGCCACAGCAUGGCUUGCCAAGCAGUGCCGUGUCUGCACCUGGGAUCUGGGCCGCCGAACCCCGGGCCGCCAAAGUGGAACAUGCGCACUUAACCACCGUGCCACUGGGCUGGCCCCUCUUCUUUUACUUCUGAAACCCGACUCUUCUGCUGCUGAUCUUAUAAAGGACCCAUCACUUCUUGGAUCAGAAUCAUCAUAUCCGGGCUUCUUCAAGAACAAUGCUGACUGCUUGCCUCACAUCUGGUUGACUGCUGACGAGUCCUCCUUCUGUGUCCACCCACUGUCCAGGCAUGGCUUGCCAAGCGGUGUUUACGUUCGCAUCCGGGAUCCAACCGGCGAACCCUAGGCUGCCAAAGUGGAAG
rnacentral:lncRNA from 1 species